rnacentral:lncRNA from 1 species
GGCAGAGAAAAAAUGUCAAAAAAAAGCAGUCUUUCCAGAUGUUUACCAGGAGUUUGAAGAGCUCCAUUCAAUGGUAAAGAAAAUGUAUCAAGAUUAUUUUAAUAAUUCUGAAUUAAAGCAACCAUUAGAAAUAAAAAAUCAUAAGGUAGCUGAAUCACUAGGAAUUACAGAUUGUUGUCUUGAAGUGACAAAGAUACAGACAAAUUCUUUUCCUGAAUGUACUGAAUCUACUGAUGAGCCUAUAUUGCUCCAUAUCUCAGGACAGAAAUGAGCAGCUGAGGUAUAAAAUAAACAAAUUUUGUCAUGAACUGUACAGCAAAAAUUAUUCUGCAAAAAUAUGGGGGAAAAAUAUGAAUUGCUCCAAUCAAGAAUUGUGGAAGAUAAAUACAGAUUUAUGUGAUCGACACACUCAAGAAAAAUUGAAUAUUUACAGCCUUUAAGUACACCAAGAUUAGAUUAUUUGAGAUGCCCAACGGACCAUAGAGGACAUUCACAAGAAGAACAAAGAUAAAGUCAAGUUGGGACACAGUAAACAAAAUGACUUAUUAUAUCUCUUGAAACAUCUGAAAAAUACAGUCAUCGUUCUCCUUGAUUUCUUCAUGAAAAAACAGUGAAAAUAAAAUAUAUCAAGAACUUAAGAAAAAAUGCUGU